rnacentral:tRNA from 1 species
GGGGGUAUAGCUCAGCGGUAGAGCGCACACUUAGCACGCACAAAGUCCUGGGUUCAAUCCCAGUGCCUCCA